rnacentral:rRNA from 1 species
AGUGAACGCUGGCGGUAGGCCUAACACAUGCAAGUCGAACGGCAGCACAGUAAGAGCUUGCUCUUACGGGUGGCGAGUGGCGGACGGGUGAGGAAUACAUCGGAAUCUACUUUUUCGUGGGGGAUAACGUAGGGAAACUUACGCUAAUACCGCAUACGACCUACGGGUGAAAGCAGGGGAUCUUCGGACCUUGCGCGAUUGAAUGAGCCGAUGUCGGAUUAGCUAGUUGGCGGGGUAAAGGCCCACCAAGGCGACGAUCCGUAGCUGGUCUGAGAGGAUGAUCAGCCACACUGGAACUGAGACACGGUCAAGACUCCUACGGGAGGCAGCAGUGGGGAAUAUUGGACAAUGGGCGCAAGCCUGAUCCAGCCAUACCGCGUGGGUGAAGAAGGCCUGCGGGUUGUAAAGCCCUUUUGUUGGGAAAGAAAAGCAGCAGGUUAAUACCCCGCUGUUCUGACGGUACCCAAAGAAUAAGCACCGGCUAACUUC